AGCGAGGUGGGGAAGCCAGUCCCUUGAUGGGGGCCAGGUACAUCCCGGCGGGCUCAUAACCCGCAGAGCGGAGGUUCAAAGGAUGUUGGACGAAAGCCCGGCAUCUGAAAUUCCUCCCCUCGCUA
rnacentral:tRNA from 1 species